UUUUUAUUUUUGUUGAACGGUAUAUUUUUACAAAGCCUUUAGUUAAAGUACUAAUUGCUUCUUAUAUGUAAUAUUAUCCAUUAUUUAUACCAUUCAUUUAAUGAAUCUUUCAGUAAAUUUUUGGCCUUGAAACCAAAAUUAGCACGUUGAAUGUUUGUUAAAUGAUAUUCGUUUGUAGAAAUUAAAAACUAACCUCUAAAUAUGAGUUUAAUUGAAAGAUUUUAACGCAUCAAGAAAUAAAGCGGAUCAAAUUAUUUUUAAAGUAAAAAGCAUAAUAACUUGAAGAAGCUGAUAUUGUAACCUUUCCGUUAUAUUAUUCGUUAACGACAUUUAAUAAGACGUUUUUACUUGGUAUGAAGGAGUGUCUUACAAGGGAAUGUACUAUAUUUAUCAUUGAAAGAGGAUCAAAAUAAAGUCUGGAAGACCAUAUUGUUAAAAUGUGGGAAGGACAGAAGAUUUUUAGAAAGAAUAAUAACGGAUCUGAGUCACAAUCGUCAAUCAGAGAAUUGACAAACUGUUUUAAAAGAAGUAUCCUGUUAAUUGGUAAUAUUCCAGCAUUGAGUUGGCCAACCAUUAAAAUUAUUUCAUUUAAGAAUGAAAGAUGAUAACGUCGAUCCAGAAAUGUAUCAUUAUGCACUGGAUUAUUACUGUACUAAGGAAAUGAACGCAACAAAGGAAUUUUCCAUUGUGCAAUAGAUUGGACUGGCUUUCGAUUGGGCCUCAACGAGAAUGUUGCCACGAUAAGAUCAUGCUUCAACAUCGUUCCAACCUUCAUGAUUACUGGAUUUUUAUUGGAUAAGAAUGGUUGUUAUUUGUAUAAAAAUAGGAAAGAAAAAUAUCUUAAAAUUCAAGAAUAUCAUUCGAUAAUAUGUAUCGGUCAGUUAGUCGAUGGUUUUUCGUCCGAAAAAUUCAUUAUGCAUGCAAAGAUUGAGAAAAGCAAGAAAACUAUUCAAGAGAUCAUCUGAAGGAAUAUUGAAGAAUAUAGCUGCAGUAAAUAUGUAUAGAUAAAAGAGAAUAAAUUUAUCUAUCGAAUCUGCUAGUCUAAUAACAAUCCUAGAGGAGGAGAAAAGUAGUUUAUUACAAAUAAUGCUUAAAAAGAAUUGUCACUGAAAAUUUUGUGGAAACGAAUGAACGAUCGUUGAUGAAAGAAGAAUAAGAUGCGGACCACGUUCUUGUAUCAAUCUUGCUAUAGCAAUCUGUACUCACACGUACGUUUAUCUAUUCAAUGGACCAAUUUAGCGGUAGAUGCUUUGGUUCUAAGAUUUUUAUGGAAAAGAACAAAAAAUUCACAUGCUAAAGCAUCAUCGAAGAUUCUAGAGAUUGAUAUUUAUAAUAACGAUAGUAAGAAGCGUAAACCAAAGCUGUGGCUUAUUUGAGAUUAUUUGGCGAUAAGUUGAACGGUUGGAACGAAUAAGUGAUUAAGUUUAUUGCAAUACUAAUUUCAGAUUUUUCAUUAACUAAUUACUUAUCAUAUUAUGAACAAAAGCUCGAUCACUGAAUCUAAUGUCUACAGCAUUAAAUGCUUGGAACUAUUCAAAAGAUAUGCCAAUUGUUUAUUUCGACAAAAUUAGUAGUCGAAUUAAAAGAAGAAAACGAAUAGAUGAUUACCGGAUUGUAUUCUCGAAUGUCUGAAGGAGGAAUGAAUUAAAAAGUCAGCUGAAUCAAUCAUUUUACAUGUUUAAUUCGUCCAGUCAUUAGAAACAAAAUAAGAACUAGUUUUAUAAAUUACGUUUGAACCUUUUUAACAUUUAAUAAAAUAAAAGUUGUUAUCUACCAGAAAAUUAAAAUCGCAUUUCUUCAAUAACUAUCGAUUUAAAAUGGAAAAAAUGAUACAGUUGUAAAAAGAAUAUAAGGCGUUUCAAAUGAUAUGCCUCCCAACCCCUUUUGCCGUUUAAGAUUUUUGAGGCGGUUGUCAUCUCCUUAGGGAGUUAGCCUAAAGAAAAAUGCAUUUAUGAUAAGGACCUAUCCUUCUCGAAGACAAUGUUGACUAGAUAUGACGUUUUUUGAAAAAGUAAUUAAAUUUCAUAAUAAUCCUGGUGAAUACUUUUCAUUUGGAUAUAUAUGUAGGUUACAUAUGGUGACUGAUAUCUUUCCAUUUUUAUCAUUUUGUUUUCCUUCUUAUCUUUGUGUGCUUAUAUAUGAACUUUUUCUGUUAUUAAAAGUAUUUUAUGUUAAUGAUUUGUAUUAACGUAAAUACAAUAUAUAAUGUGCCAUAUAUAAAGCAUCGAUUAAAAUGAGAUAAAUUAGUCGUCCUGAAUGUUUGCGAUUUCUAAUAAAAUUUUCUUGUACGAUUUUGAGAGAAAGGAAAAGGACGUGUAGGGUAACAAUAUUAUUAGAACAGUAAACAGAAAAAUAUUCAUUAUUGCAUAAUCUUGUUGAGUUACUAUGCAUAAUACGUCGAAUCGAUAUAAAUAAUUGAUAUAAGAAAAAUAAUUCGACAUGAUUUACUUUAAUUAUUGAUCAUUACGUAAAUACGUACGAUACUUAUAUAUGAUAAUCACAUAUACAUGUUAUACCUUC